rnacentral:lncRNA from 10 species
AUUCAAUAAGAUUUCAGAAAGAGGAUACAGAAUCACACACACACACACGGAAAAAAAAAAGGAGGUGGAUCAGUUUUGAGGAUGAAUAUCUCACCUUUGUUAUUGCACACAAUGGCUCCAUUUAUGGCUCAAAUCUGGCCUCCUGUCUGUGACAGAGUGCAGCACCUGACCAUCGUAAAUACUCAAUAACUAUCUUCUGAGUGAAUGACAGA